AUAAGUACAAGACGCAAAACUAAGAAAAAUAAUUUUUAAUAGUUAAAUUUAUUUAAAAAGCCCAUCAACUUUAAUUUGUGGUGGUGCAGAAGUUAGAUCUGAGAAGAGGGUUUUAAACUACAGUAGACCAAGACCAACUUAGAAGAAUAUCUCGAAGCUGUAGAGGGAAGUAAAUUUAAAAUCACAGCAAAAAGCUACUAAAAAGACUGAUGUAAAAAUUAAGGUAGACGGAAGAGUUAAAAAUUUGAAAGGCCUUAAAUCCAUACAGUAGUUUAGUUUCUUCUGGAAAACUUAAAGGACGAUAAAUUCAACAGCGAGGAUAACCAAGUUAACAUUUUUUGCAUUGGACUUUGAGCUAAGAUGAAUUUCUAAACCCUGAGGACUAGGCGCUAAUUAACAGCUGACCAGGUGCUACACAGAAGUGGAUUCAGAGAACCUAGGAAGACAGCAGCAGACAGGAUUCCAGGAGCCAGUUUUUGGUGAAACUAGGACUGAGGAGCGAGCGGCAGUUCGUGAAGAUAGGAAGGAGGAGCCCGGGAGCCAGUGCGAUUUGGUGAAGGAAGCUAGGAAGAAGGAAGGAGCCCUAACGGUUGGAGGUGAAGCUAGGAGAGGAUUCCAGGAAGGAGGAAGCCAGUGCGAUGUGGUGAUGAAGCUAGCGUGCGGCUUGGCGGCGUGGCUUGGCAACCCCGCGGAGGAGGCGAGCAGGCGGUGUGGAGGCUAGAUAGAGCGUCCUAGAGCGGCAGCCCAGUGUGCAAGGCCGGCAGGGAGAGCCAGUGGUGUGGUAAAAAUCCGUGAGGUCGGCAGUAUCGUGGGUUCUGCUUUGUUUCUUCACCUUUUUUUGGUAACAGUACGGUAAUCUUUGUUGUAUUUCCUAAUGGUGAUGGGGGAGCUGUGUACUUAAGCAUAAAGGGUUUUAUGGGGAUGUAGGCCGAUUUUCGGGUGUUGUAGGUUUCUCUUUUUCAGGCGUAUUUUCUCAUCUUGUCUGAAGCUUUUGAGGGCAGACUACCAAGGCCCGGAGGAAUAGUAGAUGGCAAGUGUUUUCGUUUUUAACCAAUAUGAGGGAAAACAAAUGAAUUUGAUAGAACAACCUUGAGACAGUUUCAGCCAGCUUUGUAAGCAGGUUUUAUAUUUAGCUUGGUAAUGAAGCAUUUCCGUUUUGUGAGUAGAUGACUUAAUUUUCUUUCUCAUUCUCUAUUCUAAGUUACCUAUAUAUAUAUAGUUGGGUGUGUAAUUCGGGGGGGUAAAGGUUUUGGGGGGGCAAAAUAUGUUUUGAGUUCUUUUCCCCUUAGGUCUGUCUAGAAUUCCAAAGGCAAAUGACUCAAGGUAACAGGAAAAAAGAAAAUCCAGUAUCAGGAUAAUCAGAACACCACAGGUUUACAGUUUGUAGAAACUAGAACACGAGCAGCUCUCACUUAAGGUCUGUGAUGGAACUCCAGUGGAGAAAUGGCUGGUACUUUUUCCACCCCUUAAUCAGAUUUUUUUUUAAUUAAAGUAUGUAACCGGUUAUUUUUACUUGAAGUAUUUUGGGGUGGUCUUAACAGGGAAGAGGGUGGGGGAGAAAAUGUUUUUUUCUAAGAUUUUCCACAGAUGCUAUAGUACUAUUGACAAACUGAGUUAGAGAAGGAUUGUACUGCUAUGCUGUUGGCACCAAACACCUUCAGGGAUUGGAGCUGCUUUUUUCCUUGGAGUAUUCCCAGUGAAGCUGAAAUAUACAGCACAGUGCAGCUUUGGUUCAUAUUCAGUCAUCUCAGGAGAACUUCAGAAGAGCUUGACUAGGCCAAAUAUUGAAGUUAAGUUUUCAAAUAAUGGAACUUUUUAAGAUGCCUUUUAAAGGGGAGGGGCAAGUUUUGGCAAUUAGUUGGCAGUGGCCUGUUUUGGUUGGGGUUGGGUGGGUUGGGUUUAGGUAAUUGUUUAGUUUAUGAUUUCAGAUAACUCAUGCCAGAGAACUUAAAUACUUAGGAUGGAAAAACUAAAGAAAUCUCACCUCCCAAGUUGGCAAGUAACUCCUGAUCCUCUAGUUUCUUGUUUUACCCCAAUUUUUGAACUGGACAGCUGGGAACUUCAAAGAUUCACUGGAUUUAAAGUGUAGGGCUUGGGAAAGGAAAGUGUUGGAUUGGGGGUUGGUCUAGCCCACUGGGUUGACCAAGAUAAAAACUUGGGGAAUUGUUUAAACACUAAAGUUGUUUGGAUAUGGUAGUGUGUGGUUCUCUUUUGGAAUUUUUUUCAGGUGAUUUAAUAAAACUUAAUACUACUAUAGGAGCUUCAGAGCAAAGGAAGUGGCUUAAUGAUCCUGAAGGGAUUUCUUCUGAUGGUAGCUUUUAUAUUAUCAAGUAAGAUUCUAUUUUCAGUUACAUAAGCAAGUUUUUUAGUAUAGGAAAUUUUUGUAUGGCUGCGAGACAAGAUGUAAAGACUUUUUUCAGAUAACAUCUUCUGAGUCAUACCCAGCCUGGCAAUAUGAUGGCCUAGAUGGAGAGGGGAACAGCUCCUUGACAGGUUUCUCUAUCAGAAGAGUUGCUUCAUAUCAUCUGGGAGCAGAAAACAGCAGGCAGCUGUUCACAGAUAAGUUUAACUUGCAUCUGCAGUAUUGCAUGUUAGGGAUAAGUGCUAUGUUUAAUAAGAGCUGUGGAGGUCCUAGGUCCCUUACUCAAGGGAUCUCAGGAUUUUGAGGAAUUUUCCCAUCCAGCCUUUUAAAAUGAGACAGGCCUUAUGCCUGUGGGCUUCCAUGAUGGGCUAACUCACUUCACUCGAGGCAAGUAAUUCCUUAAAGCCUCUUGAGAUUAAUACCUUAAUAAUCAAGGAUAAUGUUGAUAAAAUAAAAAUUUGUUUAGCAUUGAUUCUUGAAAACCCUAUGAAAAGAUAGCAUAAUGUGCUGUUAACCAGAAUCAGAUAUGUUAACCUUGCUAAAAUUUAAAUGUUAUGUGUAUUGUGCAGAAAACCGUAAAAUCACUCAAAAUAAAAUACUUUAUUU
rnacentral:lncRNA from 1 species